rnacentral:rRNA from 1 species
UACAGAGGUCUCGAGCGUUAGGCGGAAUCACUGGGCUUAAAGCGCGUGUAGGCGGAUCGUUAAGUACCUUGUGAAAUCCCACGGCUUAACCGUGGAACGGCUGGGUAUACUGGCGGUCUUGAGCCACCUAGGGGCCUGCGGAACAAGCGGUGGAGCGGUGAAAUGCGUAGAUAUCGCUUGGAACGCCGAAGGUGAAAACAGGCUGCUGGGGUUGCGCCGACGCUGAGACACGAAAGCCAGGGGAGCAAACGGG